AUGGCGGCGGCGGCGGCGAUCUGCGGGGAGGACGAGCCGGCGCCGCGCGAUCCGGAGCGCGCGGCGGCGGGCGGCGGGGUCGAGCGCCUGGAUCUCGGGGACGGCCGGGCGGCGCUCGUGGCGGGGGGCAAGAGGAGCGUCUACCUCAUGGACUGCGAGCCGGUGUGGGGCUGCGUCGCCACGCCGGGGCGCGGCGGGGAGAUGGAGGACGCCUGCGCCGCCGUGCCCCGCUUCGCCGACGUGCCCGUGCGCCUGCUCGCCCGCCGCCGCGACCUCGACGGGCUCGGGCUCGACGCCGACGCGCUCCGCCUCCCGUCCCACCUCUUCGCCGUCUUCGACGGCCACGGCGGCGCCGAGGUGUCCAACUACUGCCGGGAGAGGCUCCACGUCGUGCUGAGCAAGGAGCUGAGGAGGCCCCCCAGCGAUCUGGGCGAGAUGAGCGAUGUGGACAUGAAGGAGCACUGGGACGACCUCUUCACCAGGUGCUUCCAGACGGUGGAUGACGAGGUGUCAGGGCUUGCGAGCAGGCUCGUCGACGGCGAGCCCCGGUCAGACCCGAUCGCCGCGGAGAACGUGGGCUCCACGGCGGUUGCAGUCGUGGUGUGCUCCUCUCAUGUGGUGGUCGCCAACUGCGGCGAUUCUCGCAUCGUGCUCUCACGCGGGAAGGAGCCUGUUGCUCUCUCAAUUGACCAGAAGCCUGACAGGAAGGAUGAGCGCGCGAGGAUUGAGGCUGCGGGAGGCAAGGUCAUCCAAUGGAACGGACACCGAGUGUCCGGCAUACUUGCUAUGUCACGAUCCAUUGGUGACCGAUACUUGAAGCCAUACAUCAUCCCCAAACCAGAAGUUACGGUUGUUCCCCGGGCUAAAGAUGACGACUGCCUCAUUCUGGCCAGCGAUGGGCUUUGGGAUGUCGUGUCGAACGAAGAGGCGUGCAAGGUCGCGCGCCGGCAAAUCCAGCAGUGGCACAAGAACAACAGUGUCACAACAUCGUCGUCGGAUGGAGGUGAUGGAUCCACUGACCCUGCCGCGCAGGCAGCGGCGGACUAUCUGACGAGGCUUGCGCUGAAGAAAGGAAGCCAGGACAAUAUAACCGUAAUAGUGGUCGACUUGAAACCCCGAAGGAAACCCAAGAAUAAUUCCUAA
rnacentral:rRNA from 1 species